ACUUCGUUCUGUGAUGGUGGACUGUCCAUCUUGACUGAGCAAUUGGAUUUGUGACAUCACUGAAAGCAAAUAAUUAUGCAUGGGUGAUUAAACUUUUUAUGAAUUUGUAAGGUUAUGUAUAUUUCUCUAUUUGUUUUGAUAAAUACUUAUCAAGCAGGGGGUUUCUAUGAAUAGCAUAUAUGACAAAUGUGAUUUUACUCUGCUGUGUUGGUUCAGUGAACCAAGCAUCCUGAAUUCUUCCCUGAUAGGACUGGGCCUUUGACAUCACUGAAAAAAAGAAAUAGAUUCUGGGAAGGAGGUUUCAUCCGAGUAUCCCUGAACAUUUGUCUGUAAGCACUCAUCCUGUGACAUCACUAAAAAAUAAUUUGGAUUUCGAUGGUCAGCAGGUGGUGGUGGUGGUAUUGGUGGUGGUGAUUACCUGAGCUGUAAAGGAUACGAGCUUGGUGCUGUGUCCAUCCUCUGCUCACAUUUGGGACCUCACUGCCUCGGAUACUUUUUAGAAGUUUGGCUUUGUCUGUGUAUGGAGGCCACCAUGAUAUGCCCUCAUGGUACCAGUCUGCUGCCACCGGGCUUGUUGUUCCUCAUCCACAAAUUCAACCAUGAGCUGUAAACAGUUAGUCCACGUGUGGGAGCAGAACGGGGGAUGGUCGUGGAUUUGUCCUCCUCUGUUAUCAGAUGAGUCUCCACCAUGGUUUGUUGUGCUGCCUGGAGAUGCUCCUGUCGCUCAGAGUGACUGACACACAUCUUAACAUUACCAGAGAUUACACCAACAAAAAUGAGGUUUUGGCUCGAAUCUCAGCAUGUACAACGGACAUCAUCUUAUGGAGCAGCAGCUUAAGUUGUCUUCAACCUUCAAAAGUUCAAAGACAUCACUUCCCUGCUGUGUACCCUUCCCUGGCUUCCUGUAGCAGCCUCCCCUUGAGUGAACAGCAGAAUGACUGUCUUAGAACAGAGUCAAUCUAACCAGGUUGUGUUCCAAACCGCAUGGAAGGAGAGUCUCCUAAAUUAUAGAAAAGCUCUUAGUGCUGCUAGAGCAAAAUAUUUCUCCUCGCUAGAAGAAAACAAAACUAAUCCUACAUUUAAUACUGUAGCAAAACUAACUAGGAAGACCACCACUACAGAAGCAUCCACACCAUCAGUAUUUAGCAGCGACAACUUUAUGAAUUUUUUCAGUGAUGAAGUUGAAAACAUAUGGCACAAAAUUAAUACUAUUAAUCUAAACCUGAGCAAUCUGAUGACAAACCAAGUAGAUGUCAGUAUAGUUACAUCAGAUCAGCGUUUAGAGUCUUUUAACCCUCUCCGUGAGACCAAGUUAAUUUCACUAAUUUCUUGAUCAACAACAUGUAUACUAGAUCCCGUACCCACAACUUUCCUAAAACAGAUACAACUCUUUUAAAAAAGAUAAAUUAAUCUCUUAGUACUGGCUAUGUCCCUAAAUCAUUUAAAGCAGUUAUCAAACCUCUGGCAAAAAACCUAACCUAGACCCCUGCCAGUUGUCUAAUUACAGACCGAUAUCAACCCUCCCCUUCAUCUCCAAAAUCCUAGAAAAGGUUGUAGCACAGCAGCUAUGUUCAUACCUUCAUAGAAAUAACAUUUGUCAGUCAGGGUUUAGGCCUCAUCAUAGCACAGAGACAGCGCUGGUUAAAGUUGUGAAUGACCUGUUACUGGCCUCUGAUCAGGGUUGUGUCUCCCUGCUUGUACUGCUUGACUUAAGUGCAGCUUUUGACACCUUUGAUCUCCUUUAUAGGCUAGAAAAUAUUGUUGGAGUUUAGGGAACAGCCUAUUUGAGUGACCGUUAUCAGUUUGUAGAUGUAAAUGGUGAAUAUUCUAUGCACAGUAAGGUUAAGUUUGGUGUUCCACAAGGUUCUGUUUUAGGCCCAUCUAUGUAUGUAUAGAUAUGCUACCUCUGGUUAAUAUUAUUCUUAAACAUGGUAUCAGCUUUCACUGUUAUGCUGAUGAUACACAGUUCUAUGUGUCAGCACAUCCAGAUGAGAGACACCAGUUUAGACUCUGGAUGUUGAACAAUUUUCUUUUACUAAAUGAUAUAAUAAAAUAUAUUAGGACCACAGGCAGCUAGAAGUAAACUUUCUGAUUACAUAGUAACUCUGGAUGGUAUUUCAGUUACACCAUGUACAGCUGUUAUAGACCUUGGUGUGAUUAUUAAUUCCAGUUUUUGUUUUGAAGCUCAUGUAGCUAUCACCACCAGGAUAGCCUUCUAUCAUCUUAGAAGCCUUGCUAAGCUAUGAUGUCACUACAUGACGCAGAAAUACUUGUCCAUGCUUUUGUUACCUCUAGGUUGGAUUAUUGUAAUCCCUUUUGUCUGGUUGUUCCAGUAGGUGUAUAAACAAACUGCAGUUAGUCCAGAAUGCAGCAGCCAGAAUCCUUACUAGAACCAGAAAAUAUGAACACAUCACCCCUGUCUUAUGCACACUGCACUGGCUCCCGGUCAGAUUUCGCAUUGACUAUAAAAUAAUGUCUUCCGCAUUUAACCCAUCUGUGGCAGUGAACACGCACACACCAGUGCACCAGUCAACACACACUCAGUGUGUCGGGCAGCCAUCCCCAGUGCCCAUGGCACUUCAGCCACGGAUCCUGGGAAUUGAACCGGCAACCUUCUGGUACCAAGCCCAGUCCUCUAAUUAUUAGGCCAAGGCUAAUUAUUCGUUAUUCUUAUUAAUUUUUCUAGUUUUGACCAGUGUAGGAUGAGUCUCUUAAGGUUUCUUCCUCUUGCUCUGAGGGAGUAGUUUUCCUUGCCAAUGUUUUGCUUAGCUUGUUCAUUAAGGUUUGGACCAGGGUUUUUUGUAAACUACUUCGAGUCUGAUUGUGAAAAGUGCUGUCAUUUUCAUUUUAAUUUAUGUAAUGUAUCACAUCUUCCCAGCUGUAUCUAAUGCAACUCAAGUUCAAUUUAUGUUGUAUUUUAACAUGAUUGGUUCUACCAUCAUUCGUAAAUGUGUUUAAAUCGAUAAAUAUUUUAUUCAGUCAACUCUGAACUGAAACUAUAUUACAGGUGGCUGUAAUCUCAUGCAGGCUCACUAUUUUUAAGGUUACAUCAUGUUCUAUAUUGUUAUAUGCACAUUAAACUCAAUUUUUAUCUGUUGUAUGAUGUUGACCUUAUAAUAUUUUUAUAUUUUCUGCAAGUUUCCAUGUAAUAAAGGCUAUUUGGCAUCAGCUGAA